GACGAACGCUGGCGGCGUGCCUCAUACAUGCAAGUUGAGCGCUGAAGGUUGGUACUUGUACCGACUGGAUGAGCAGCGAACGGGUGAGUAACGCGUGGGGAAUCUGCCUUUGAGCGGGGGACAACAUUUGGAAACGAAUGCUAAUACCGCAUAAAAACUUUAAACACAAGUUUUAAGUUUGAAAGAUGCAAUUGCAUCACUCAAAGAUGAUCCCGCGUUGUAUUAGCUAGUUGGUGAGGUAAAGGCUCACCAAGGCGAUGAUACAUAGCCGACCUGAGAGGGUGAUCGGCCACAUUGGGACUGAGACACGGCCCAAACUCCUACGGGAGGCAGCAGUAGGGAAUCUUCGGCAAUGGACGAAAGUCUGACCGAGCAACGCCGCGUGAGUGAAGAAGGUUUUCGGAUCGUAAAACUCUGUUGGUAGAGAAGAACGUUGGUGAGAGUGGAAAGCUCAUCAAGUGACGGUAACUACCCAGAAAGGGACGGCUAACUACGUG
rnacentral:rRNA from 1 species